rnacentral:rRNA from 1 species
UUCACGGAGAGUUUGAUCCUGGCUCAGGACGAACGCUGGCGGCGCGCUUAACACAUGCAAGUCGAGCGAUAACCAUGGCUUCGGCCAUGGGGACAGCGGCGAACGGGUGAGUAACACGUGGGUAAUCUGCCCUCGACACUGGGAUAGCCCGGGGAAACCCGGAUUAAUACCGGAUAGCCUCUCGAGCUCUCGGGCUCGUGAGAAAGGAUGGCUUCGGCUUUCGGUUGAGGAGGAGCCUGCGGCGGAUUAGCUUGUUGGCGGGGUAACGGCCCACCAAGGCGACGAUCCGUAGCUGGUCUGAGAGGACGAUCAGCCACACUGGGACUGAGACACGGCCCAGACUCCUACGGGAGGCAGCAGUGGGGAAUCUUGCGCAAUGGGCGAAAGCCUGACGCAGCGACGCCGCGUGAGGGAAGAAGGCCUUCGGGUUGUAAAC